GCUUUGGUAGCUAAGAUGUAAGCGAGUGCCUUUUAAGCAUUAGAUGUGGGUUUUAACCACUCAAGGUA
rnacentral:tRNA from 1 species